UGGGUCAAUCUAUGGGGCUGACAUCCCUCUAUGGGUCAAUCUAUGGGUCUGAUCUCCAUCUAUGGGUCAAUCUAUGGGUCUGACGUCCCUCUAUGGGUCAAUCUAUGGGGCUGGGGUCCCUCUAUGGGUCAAUCUAUGGGUCUGACGUCCCUCUAUGGGUCAAUCUAUGGGUCUGAUCUCCAUCUAUGGGUCAAUCUAUGGGUCUGAUCUCCAUCUAUGGGUCAAUCUCUGGGCCUGAUGUCCCUCUAUGGGUCAAUCUAUGGGUCAAUCUAUGGGUCCGAGGCCCCCCUACGGGUCCCUCCAUGCCU
rnacentral:lncRNA from 1 species